UACGUAGGAGACGAGCGUUGUCCGGAGUUACUGGGCGUAAAGGGUGCGCAGGUGGCCUGGCGCGUCGCGAGUGAAAUCUCCUGGCUCAACUGGGAGGGUGGUCGCGAGACGGCUGGGCUUGAGGCUCGGUGAGGGGCGUGGAAUUCCGGGUGGAGCGGUGAAAUGCGUAGAGAUCCGGAGGAACACCGACGGCGUAGGCAGCGCCCUAGACGAGACCUGACGCUCAGGCACGAAAGCGCGGGGAGCGAACAGG
rnacentral:rRNA from 1 species